rnacentral:rRNA from 1 species
CUGCUGUUAUACAGAAAGAAAAGAUAUAGGAGUGGAAAGCCUAUAUUAUGACGGUACUGUAUCAGAAAGUGACGGCAAACUAUGUGCCAGCAGCCGCGGUAAUACAUAGGUCACAAGCGUUAUCCGAAAUUAUUGGGCGUAAAGCGUCCGUAGGUUGUUUGUUAAGUCUGGAGUUAAAGACCGGUGCUCAACGCCGGCACGCUUUAGAUACUGGCAAACUAGAGUUAUAAAGAGGUAAGUGGAAUUUCAUGUGAAGCGGUGGAAUGCGUAGAUAUAUGAAAGAACACCAAUGGCGAAGGCAGCUUACUGGUUAUAUACUGACACUGAGGGACGAAAGCGUGGGGAGCAAACAGGAUUAGAUACCCUGGUAGUCCACGCCGUAAACGAUGAUCAUUAGUUGGUGGGGGAACCCUCGCUAACGCAGCUAACGCAUUAAAUGAUCCGCCUGAGUAGUAUGCUCGCAAGAGUGAAACUUAAAGGAAUUGACGGGGACCCGCACAAGCGGUGGAGCAUGUGGUUUAAUUUGACGAUACGCGUAGAACCUUACCCACUCUUGACAUCCCUUGCAAAGCUAUAGAGAUAUAGUGGAGGUUAACAAGGUGACAGAUGGUGCAUGGUUGUCGUCAGCUCGUGUCGUGAGAUGUUCGGUUAAGUCCUGCAACGAGCGCAACCCCUAUCCUUAUUUACUAACAUUAAGUUGAGAACUAUACGGAUACUGCUCAGGUAACUGGGAGGAAGGUGGGGAUGACGUCAAAUCAUCAUGCCUCUUACGAGUGGGGCAACACACGUGCUAUAAUGGCCGGUACAAAGAGACGCAAUAUGGUGACAUGGAGCAAAUCUGAAAAACCGGUCUCAGUUCGGAUUGAAGGCUGCAAUUCGCCUUCAUGAAGUCGGAAUCGCUAGUAAUCGUAGAUCAGCUACGCUACGGUGAAUACGUUCUCGGGUCUUGUACACACCGCCCGUCACACCAUGGGAGCCGGUAAUGCCCAAAGUC